AGAGUUGAUCCUGGCUUAGAACGAACGCUGGCGGCGCGUCUUAAGCAUGCAAGUCGAACGGCAAGAGGUAGCAAUACCUCCUAGAGUGGCGGACUGGUGAGUAACACGUGGGUGACAUACCCUUCAGAUGGGGAUAGCUAUUAGAAAUAGUAGAUAAUACCGAAUACGAGCACAGGGGUUAGAGAUCUGUGAGGAAAGGAGCUAAGGCUCCGCUGAAGGAAUGGCCUGCGGCCCAUUAGCUAGUUGGUGAGGUAAGAGCCCGCCAAGGCGAUGAUGGGUAUCCGGCCUUAGAGGGUGAACGGACACAUUGGGACUGAGAUACGGCCCAGACUCCUACGGGAGGCAGCAGCUAAGAAUAUUCCGCAAUGGACGAAAGUCUGACGGAGCGACGCCGCGUGGAUGAAGAAGGCCGGAAGGUUGUAAAAUCCUUUUGAAACUGAAGAAUAAGCGUUGUAGGGAAUGACAGCGUGGUGACAGUUAGGUUUUGAAUAAGCAACGGCUAAUUACGUGCCAGCAGCCGC
rnacentral:rRNA from 1 species